ensembl:snRNA U1 U1 spliceosomal RNA
AUACUUACCUGGCAGUGGAGGUACCAUGAUCACGAAGGUGGUUUUCCCAGGGCGAGGCUUAUCCAUUACUCUCCAGAUGUGCUGACCCCUGCGAUUUCCCCAAAUGUGGGAGACUCGACAGCAUAAUUUCUGGUAGUGGGGGACUGCAUUUGUGCUCUCCCCUG